GCUGGGGGCCCCAGCACGUGGCUCCUCGCCGCGCGCGUGCGUCGGCGCCCCUGCCCCGGCGCCGAGUGCGCGCCGCAGCGCUGGAGCGUGGGUCCCGGCCUGUGCCUCCCCGGGAGGGGGCCGGGGCGCCCCGCCAGCCGAAGCCGACCCGGGCCCCGCGGAGCCCACCCGCCCGCGACUGGCGGCCCCAGGCAGGUGCAGCCCGUCGGCCGCGCGGAGCCUCCCAGGUGCCGCCGAGGCCCCGCCCUGCUCCGUGGCGGGAGGGCCAAGCCCGCGUGCCCCAGGUGCCAAGGUCCGGCUCGCGGGCUGGUGGGGCGCGGCGCAGGCCCGGAAGUCAAAGGAGGAAAGUUUGUGUUGAGCUUAGACGGGAGGAGCGCGACCUCUUGCGCCCCACCGUGCCACCUCCCAGGCUGUCCGCCUUGGAGAAGUUCCCGCAGGAAAGCGAGGAUGUGGACGCCCCAAUCUGGACCCGCCCCAACUGUGACCCCCCUCCCUCCACCCCCAGCACCACCGCCACUUUGCUGGAGGGGAGCCACAUUCCCGGUACAACGUGGAGGACAGUAGCAGCAGCUUGGUGGUAGGCGACAGGAGAAAGGACAAGUGCCCCAACGGGAUGGAAAGCAAGCCCUGGGCCCAGACGCAGACCUCCCUGCUGAGCCGGCUGCGGUGGACCCCCACCUCACCUUGGGCCGUUUUCAUCAAUUAGUCUAACAAUAUUUAGGAAACACUCUUAAGAACAAAAAUAAAUACAAUCAUAAGUGGUUAGAGUGGGACUGAACCCCAGAAGUCAUGAAAUCAAAGCCUCUUAUUUUACUGAUGAAGAAAAUGAAGUUGAAAGAGGAUUAGGACUUGCCCAAGGUCCUCACAGCUGGCCAGAGAGAGAGGAAGCUUGAAGGGACCUUCCUGGUGGCACAGUGGUUAAGAAUCCACCUGUCAAUGCAGGGGACACAGGUUCGAUCCCUGGUCUGGGAAGAUCCCACAUGCCUCGGAGCAACUAAGCCCAUGUGCCACAACUAUUGAGCCUGCACUCUAGAGCCCACAAGCCAGAACUAUUGAGCCUGCAUGCCACAACUAGUGAAGCUCACACGCCUAGAGCCCAUGCUCCACAAUGAGAAGCCACCGCGAUGAGAAGCCCAUGCACUGCAACAAAGAGUAGCCCCUGCUUGCUGCAACUGGAGACAGCCUGUGCACAGCAAUGAAGACCCAACACAGCCAAUAAGUAAAUAAAUAAAUAAAUUUUUUAAAAUAUAUUUUUCCAAAUUUGUUUAUUAUAUAUACACUUUGAUUAUAGUAUUUUUCCUAAACAUGACUUUAAUUUCAAUAUAGUCAAAAUGUUCACCUUACUUUUAUAGCUUUUAUAGUUUCCUUUAUAUAGAUCCCAGUCUCGUUAAAUUUAUUUCCAAAUACUUGAUAGAUGCUGUUGCCAUUAUGAACGGAAAAAUUUCCCCAUUUCUUUUCCUAGGAAGUUAUUAUUAAAAUAGAGAAAUGUUAUUCAUUUUUGUACUUAUAGGCCACCUUAUGAGAUUUAUUAAUUCCAAUGUAUUUUCUCAUUAGAAUCUUUUAAAAGGUGUAAAAUAAUAUCAACAGCAAAUAGAUGGUUUUUAUGUCUGCUUCUCCAGUGUUAAACCAGUUACUUCAUUUCUUUACCCUACUCUUCUUGCUGUAACUUCCAAGACAAUGGUUGAGUAUUAUAAUAGUAUCAGUUCUGUUCCUGAUGGUUGUGAACACCUAGCAAAUGUUGACUGAAUGUUUGCUGAGACGCAGGCAGUGUUCUAUGGUCUGAGACUACUCUGGGGACUAAAACAAAAGUCCCCUGACACAUGGUGUUUACAUUCUAGAAGGGGUUCCAUGGAAGGACUUUGAGUACCUUUGUUCCACAAAUGUUUGUUCAUGUUUCUGAUUUUUAUUGAUGUGGCUUUAGUGUUUUGCCGUUUAAAGAUGUUAUUUGCUAUUGAUUUUUCAUAACGAUUCCUAUUUUUUGAGGAAGAGCUGCCAAAUUUUAUCAAAUGCUUUUAAGUUGGAAAUGAUAGGAAUAUUUAAUUUUUCUCUUUUAACUUGUCGAUGCAUCUGUAAUGAAAUGUUAAUUAGCUUCCUGAUACUGAAUUACCCCUGCAUUCCUGGAAGAUACUACUUGAUCGUAUUGUAUUAUUCAUUUGUUAUACUACUGGAUUCUAUUUACUAAUAUUUUAUUUGAAAUUUUGCAUCUACUUUCAAGAGCAAAUUUGCUCAUUUUUAUUACUAAACUCUCAUUUUCAUACAAGCUUUAUAAAAAGAUAUGGGAUUUCCCACUUUUUUCCCUACAUUGUAUAAAUAUUCAAAUAACACUGGAAUUACAUUAUCUAUUCCUUACAGGUUAAAUAAAA